GGGACACUGCAGAAAGGGUGAUAAUGGAUAUUAGAGAUCAGGAAACGAAGGAAAACAAACAAGAAUGAUGGUAAAAUGAGCAAUAUUAGCAUACUCAGAGAAAAUAAAUUCAUUUGAAGAUUGGAGUGUUGAAAUGGUUUUUGUUGCCGGUGGUUUCCCUGCUUAAUUGUUUUACUAGUUUGUACUUAAUUUUCUUCAGAUUAGCACUAAUUUUUGCUUGAAAGCAGAAGAAAUGUCUCGACGAAGUGAAUAUUUAGGGAGUAGGGAAUGAUAUCAUUCCAACUCAGUUACAAAAAUCUCCAUAUAAAGCAAAUCAUUUUCCCUCAGAGAGAGAAAGAGAAGCAGAUAAUGAUUACCUGGUUGAGCCAAAGCUUGAUGACAUUCUCCGAAAUGGCCGCUGAGCUUCCAUUGGGCCUCUAAAAUCCUGAGAAAAAUGAAGGAAUACUUACAGGGUUGCUUCGGAAGGAACGGGAGGCUGGGAACAAGAGCUCCCCAUAAUUUGCUUCAUUGGAGUUGGGAGAAGGAACAGCAGAUUCCCUUGCAGACCGCCAGUUCAAUGGUGGCGGCGCUGAAGCAGAAUUAGAGGAACCGCUGCUGUUGGUUCUUCUAAACAUGUCUAACUCCUCUUGAUUUCAAGAUUUUGAUUCCUUACUUGAUUGAAUGUAAAAUUGUUUUCACGUUGAGCUUUAAGACUAUAUAUAGCUGUUACAACUUCUUAGACCUUUUUCUAUAUUUAAUCAAAGGUUAGGAGUCAUGACUAUAUGAUUAUCUAUCUUUCACUGUUA